rnacentral:rRNA from 1 species
GACGAACGCUGGCGGCGUGCUUAACACAUGCAAGUCGAACGGAAAGGCCCUGCUUUUGUGGGGUGCUCGAGUGGCGAACGGGUGAGUAACACGUGAGUAACCUGCCCUUGACUUUGGGAUAACUUCAGGAAACUGGGGCUAAUACCGGAUAGGAGCUCCUGCUGCAUGGUGGGGGUUGGAAAGUUUCGGCGGUUGGGGAUGGACUCGCGGCUUAUCAGCUUGUUGGUGGGGUAGUGGCUUACCAAGGCUUUGACGGGUAGCCGGCCUGAGAGGGUGACCGGCCACAUUGGGACUGAGAUACGGCCCAGACUCCUACGGGGGGCAGCAGUGGGGAAUAUUGCACAAUGGGCGGAAGCCUUAUGCAGCAACGCCGCGUGCGGGAUGACGGCCUUCGGGUUGUAACCCGCUUUCGCCUGUGACGAAGCGUGAGUGACGGUAAUGGGUAAAGAAGCACCGGCUAACUACGUG